rnacentral:rRNA from 1 species
AUUGAACGCUGGCGGCAUGCCUUACACAUGCAAGUCGAACGGCAGCAUGGAGAGCUUGCUCUCUGAUGGCGAGUGGCGAACGGGUGAGUAAUGCAUCGGAACGUACCGUGUAAUGGGGGAUAACGUAGCGAAAGUUACGCUAAUACCGCAUACGACCUGAGGGUGAAAGCAGGGGAUCGCAAGACCUUGCGUUAUACGAGCGGCCGAUGUCAGAUUAGCUAGUUGGUGGGGUAAUGGCCCACCAAGGCGACGAUCCGUAACUGGUCUGAGAGGAUGAUCAGUCACACUGGAACUGAGACACGGUCCAGACUCCUACGGGAGGCAGCAGUGGGGAAUUUUGGACAAUGGGGGCAACCCUGAUCCAGCCAUGCCGCGUGAGUGAAGAAGGCCUUCGGGUUGUAAAGCUCUUUCGGCCGGGAAGAAAUCGCACGGGCUAAUACCCUGUGUGGAUGACGGUACCGGAAUAAGAAGCACCGGCUAACUACGUGCCAGCCGCCGCAGUAA